rnacentral:rRNA from 1 species
GACGAACGCUGGCGGCGCGCCUAACACAUGCAAGUCGAACGGAAAGGCGCUGAUCUUGUGGGGUGCUCGAGUGGCGAACGGGUGUGUAACACGCGAGUAUCCUGCCCUUGUCUUUCGGGUAACAUCUGGAAACUCGGGCUAAUACCGGAUAGGAGCUCUUGCUGCAUGGUGGUGGAUGGAAAGAGUCGGCGGUUGGGGAUGGACUCGCGGCUUAUGCGCUUGUUGGUGAGGUAGUGGCUUACCAAGGUUUUGACGGGUAGCCGGCCUGGGAGGGGGACCGGCGUCAGUGGGACUGAGAUACGGACCAGACUCCUACGGGACGCAGCAGUGGAGAAUAUUGCACAGUGGGCGGGAGCCUGAGACAGCGACGCCGCGUGCGGGAUGACGGGCUUCGGGUUGUGAACCGAUGUGGAAUGUGACGUGGCGGGAGUGACGGUAAUGGGUAAAGAAGCACCGGCUAACUACGUG